UUGAAUGGUAAAAAAAAGAAGUCGUCAAUGCAACCCGUUGCAACUCACAGGUGUUCUACUGAUGCAGAGGUACCUUUCCUUGCUUGGGAGUUAUAUGUGGUUCUGUUUGCUAAAUCUGUUUUAGGUUUAGACUGAUCUUGCAUGCUAAGCUUUUUAGUGUAUAACCAGUCUGUAGGUCCUACUAUUUGAUCACCGGAUGCAACGGAUGGGUGCCGGAUGGCGUCUUUGGCGUUUCGUUGAAGUACGACCAAACUACACUGCAGUUCGGUCUAGCCAAAGUUAUGCAUGCUAUUUACCUCUACUUUGCGUGUGAAUGUCCCUGAAACAUGGUUUUGUUUGACUCUAGGUUCAGGACAAUAAACAUGAUAACUCAAUCACUGUUAUCAGAACAAGGUAUGCACACUGAUGGAGAUGAACCCAGUGACGGCGAGCGCGGGGGGCACGAGCACCAGGCUGAACAGCACGACGAGAGGCAUCACAGUGCGACACCGACGAGGCUAUCUACCAGGACGAGGCCGGAGAGGUCCAGCAGCAUGCUGCCAACACUAUUGUAUGAAUAUGAUCAAGUGGUGUGUUGUGGGUGCAGUUUGCCUGUAUCCUUUUUUAUUUGUCAGGUUUCUGUCUUCCUGGCUGGAUUAUGUCACUUCCAUUUAAUCAAAAGAGUUUUAG
rnacentral:lncRNA from 1 species